AACACUUUUUAUACGUAUUUAUAUACUAUAUUAUACAUAAUUUAAAAAAUUUCUUAAGAAACUCUUUUAAAUCUCUAAUAGAGUUUACUCAUAGAUAUUACGGUAUUGUUUUAUCGUUUUGUUCGCCUACGGGAUUAAAAUCAACCCUUUUAACUUAAAUUACAAUGUAUGUAUGUGCUAUAAACUCAACGAAAGGGGCUAAAUUUAAAAUAUUGUGUAUAUGAGGGCAAGCCAAACAACAAUUGGAAGGCAAGGGAUUGGAAGGCGUAAUAGGGAUAUGAUGCUUAGAAGAAGAUCUAGACCAAACUCAUUCAUAUUCAGCGCAAAAACACAUUAUGUUUAAUAACACAUGUGCAUUUGACAUCAGUAAAAUAACGCACAUUUAACCAAUACGAAAAGUUCAAAGUUCGAUUGAAGUUUGGAAACCACUAUACGGGGUACAUUGGAGCUAGAGAAAGAUCUGAACUGAAUUUAAUUUUGAAAAUUCUUAGUCGAAAUAACUAAUAACUUUCAAACCACAGAUGAUCCUUCAUACUUCGGACGUGUGCGAAAUUGCUGAUCGGGUCUCCGACGUUUGCUUCUAUGCAAAGUGUUUAGAAUAUAAAAAGUAAAGAAAGAGAGGAAUAAUUUCUGCACUGACUUUAUGUAAACUCGACGAGGAGUCAACAUGGACAAUAUACUUUCGCAAACGACAGUGUUCAGCAUAAAACUAUUUGCACAAAAUAUAUUAGGUGAAUAAGAAAUGUUGUUGGUAAAUGGUUGAAAAUGUACACAAAAAUAUACAAAGUAGUAAUAAAGCGUUCGCUUACCUCGAUA